CAAUAGCGUAUAUUAAAGUUGUUGCAGUUAAAAAGCUCGUAGUUGGAUUUCUGGAUGGAGCGACCGGUCGGGCAUUAAUUUGUCUGCACUGGAGUCGGUUCCGUCCAUCCUCUUGGAAAGUGCGUCGGGCAUUAAGUUGUUUGGCAUAUGAUCCAAGUCGUUUACUGUGAAAAAAUUAGAGUGUUUAAAGCAGGCCUUCGCCUUGAAUACAUUAGCAUGGAAUAAUAAGAUAGGACUUUGGUCUAUUUUGUUGGUUUGCAGACCGAAGUAAUGAUUAAUAGGGAUAGUUGGGGGUAUUUAUAUUCCGAUGUCAGAGGUGAAAUUCUUAGAUUUUCGGAAGAUAAACUUAUGCGAAAGCAUUUACCAAGGAUGUUUUCAUUAA
rnacentral:rRNA from 1 species